CGGGCAGACACACGGCGGGUGCUAACGUCCGUCGUGAAGAGGGAAACAACCCAGACCGCCAGCUAAGGUCCCCAAAUACCAGUUAAGUGGGAAACGAUGUGGGAAGGCUCAGACAGCUAGGAGGUUGGCUUAGAAGCAGCCAUCCUUUAAAGAAAGCGUAAUAGCUCACUAGUCGAGUCGGCCUGCGCGGAAGAUGUAACGGGGCUCAAACUGGUUACCGAAGCUGCGGCUGUGCACGCAAGUGCACGGGGUAGGGGAGCGUUCUGUAAGCCUGCGAAGGUGUGUUGAGAAGCAUGCUGGAGGUAUC
rnacentral:rRNA from 16 species